UAGGAAUUCAGAGUCGCCAU
rnacentral:misc_RNA from 1 species